rnacentral:tRNA from 1 species
CGGCACGUAGCGCAGCCUGGUAGCGCACCGUCAUGGGGUGUCGGGGGUCGGAGGUUCAAAUCCUCUCGUGCCGACC